rnacentral:rRNA from 1 species
CGCUGGCGGCGUGCCUAACACAUGCAAGUCGAGCGGAGACAGUGAGUAGCUUGCUACGAACUAUUUUAGCGGCGGACGGGUGAGUAACGCGUGAGCAACCUUCCCAGACAGGGGAAUAACACACCGAAAGGUGUACUAAUACCGCAUAAGACCACGGGAUCACAUGGUUCUGGGGUAAAAGAUUUAUCGGUUUGGGGUGGGCUCGCGUCCGAUUAGGUAGUUGGUGAGGUAACGGCCCACCAAGCCGACGAUCGGUAGCCGACCUGAGAGGGUGAUCGGCCACAUUGGGACUGAGACACGGCCCAGACUCCUACGGGAGGCAGCAGUGGGGAAUAUUGGGCAAUGGGCGCAAGCCUGACCCAGCAACGCCGCGUGAAGGAAGAAGGCUUUCGGGUUGUAAACUUCUUUUGUCAGGGACGAGUAGAAGACGGUACCUGACGAAUAAGCCACGGCUAACUACGUG